rnacentral:rRNA from 1 species
CCUACGGGUGGCUGCAGUGAGGAAUAUUGGUCAAUGGGCGCUAGCCUGAACCAGCCAAGUAGCGUGAAGGAUGACUGCCCUAUGUGUUGUAAACUUCUUUUAUAUGGGAAUAAAGUGCAGUAUGUAUACUUCUUUGCAUGUACCUUCUGAAUAAGGAUCGGCUAACUCCGUGCCAGCAGCCGCGGUAAUACGGAGGAUCCGAGCGUUAUCCGGAUUUAUUGGGUUUAAAGGGAGCGUAGGCGGGUUGUUAAGUCAGUUGUGAAAGUUUGCGGCUCAACCGUAAAAUUGCAGUUGAUACUGGCAGUCUUGAGUAGAGUAGAGGUAGGCGGAAUUCGCGGUGUAGCGGUGAAAUGCUUAGAGAUCACGCAGAACACCGAUUGCGAAGGCAGCCUGC